AUUGAACGCUGGCGGCAUGCCUUACACAUGCAAGUCGAACGGUAACGCGGGGCAACCUGGCGACGAGUGGCGAACGGGUGAGUAAUGCAUCGGAACGUGCCCAGUAGUGGGGGAUAGCCCGGCGAAAGCCGGAUUAAUACCGCAUACGACCUACGGGUGAAAGGGGGGGAUCGCAAGACCUCUCGCUAUUGGAGCGGCCGAUGUCAGAUUAGGUAGUUGGUGGGGUAAAGGCCUACCAAGCCGACGAUCUGUAGCUGGUCUGAGAGGACGACCGGCCACACUGGGACUGGGACACGGCCCAGACUCCGACGGGAGGCAGCAGUGGGGAAUUUUGGACAAUGGGCGCAAGCCUGAGCCAGCCACGCCGCGUGCGGGAAGAAGGCCUUCGGGUUGUAAACCGCUUUUGUCAGGGAAGAAAUCUUUUGAGUUAAUACCUCGGAAGGAUGACGGUACCUGAAGAAUAAGCACCGGCUAACUACGUGCCAGCCGCCGCGGUAAUAC
rnacentral:rRNA from 1 species